CAACACAUUAAUAACACUAAUGUAUCGGAUCCCAUCAGAACUUCGCAGUUAAGCGUGCGUGAGCAAGAGUAGUACUAGGAUGGGCGACCUCUUAGGAAGUCCUCGUAUUGCGCUUA
rnacentral:rRNA from 1 species